rnacentral:rRNA from 1 species
UACGUAGGGUGCAAGCGUUAAUCGGAAUUACUGGGCGUAAAGCGUGCGCAGGCGGUUUUGUAAGACCGAUGUGAAAUCCCCGGGCUUAACCUGGGAACUGCAUUGGUGACUGCAAGGCUUGAGUGUGUCAGAGGGAGGUGGAAUUCCGCGUGUAGCAGUGAAAUGCGUAGAGAUCGGGAGGAACAUCAGUUGCGAAGGCGGCUCUCUGGACCAGCACUGACACUGAGGCACGAAAGCGUGGGGAGCAAACAGG